rnacentral:rRNA from 1 species
UACGUAGGGCGCAAGCGUUGUCCGGAAUCACUGGGCGUAAAGCGCACGUAGGCGGAUCUUUAAGUCAGGGGUGAAAUCCCGGGGCUCAACCUCGGAACUGCCUUUGAUACUGGGGAUCUCGAGUCCGGGAGAGGUGAGUGGAAUUGCGAGUGUAGAGGUGAAAUUCGUAGAUAUUCGCAAGAACACCAGUGGCGAAGGCGGCUCACUGGCCCGGUACUGACGCUGAGGUGCGAAAGCGUGGGGAGCAAACAGGG